rnacentral:misc_RNA from 1 species
GAGGAGCAUGGGGUUUCUGACCGAGGACAGUGAUUAAACCCUUAUGAAAUCUGAGGA